GCAUCCAUAGUUUAGUGGUUAGAGCACUGGUCUUGUAAACCAGGGGUCGGGAGUUUAAUUCUCUCUGGAGGUA
rfam:Acyrthosiphon pisum strain LSR1 Contig33897, whole genome shotgun sequence.